AUAAGGCUCAGAUAUCUCUUAGGAAAAGAUUGAGAUGCUGUUGCCAUUGUCACCAAUCCCCAGACGCUGGAGCUUGCACUGUUGGCAAGGGUGGUUGUGAGAGUGAUUAACUAGCAUUUUCAAAUUCUAUAGCAAGAUGUCUCUAACAGCAACACUUGCAAGCCUGCUUAAUGUGAUGAUGAUGAGGAUGAAGACCUUGAUGAUGUUCUACUUCCACUUAAUGAAUAAUGGAGUCUCACUGUAGGCUGGAGUGCAGGCUGGAGUGCAAUGGUGCAGUCAUGGCUCACUGCAACCUCUGCCUCCUGGGCUCAGGUGAUCCUCCCACCGCAGCCUCCCGAGUAGCUGGGACUACAGUGUGAGGCUUGGCAGGACUCCAGAAGCAAGCAAGCUUGAACUGAAGAGGUCUGCUGCCAAGAGUCUGUGUGACCUCAGACAAAGAGCAGGUCUCUGAGCCACUGCCUUCCUCAGCCAAGAAGGAGACCCCCGCUGGCAACCAGCAGUCCUCUCAGGCGUGACAUCGCAAAUCCAGCCCUCUAAGUAUCCCUGAGCCAAUAUAUGGAAAUACUGUAGUCCAAAGCAAGGUCUGGGGCCUAGAUUCUAAUUUCCUAGUCUUUGUAGUCAUGGAUCUUCAUGAAUGGGAAGAAACAUGUGUGCUGAACAUCAAAUUUAGAUUCAUAUCUCAGAGUUUUGGCCAGUGCCCAGCAGAAAUUUGGGGGACAGGAGGUGAGUAGAAUAUGAAUAGCAGGGGAUAUUCAAAUAAGCGAGUCGUGUGGGGCUGGAUUCCUGCCCUAUAUUUGGACCUUCUGCCCCACUAAAGUCAUCAGCUCCUUUUCCUCCAGUUUCUUCCAGUAAUGCAUGUCUAAUUUGCAUGUAUUUGGUAGUAAGAGCUCUAUAAGAGAAGAAGGAGGAGCAGAAAGAGGAAGAGAAGUACAGUUUUUUGAAAGAAAGAGCUGUGGUUCUUUUGAUUUUAGUCUCUUUAAUUAGCCACAUCAUGUUUGUGGCAUGAACCCAGAAUAGGAGUUUCACAACUUCCAGGGGAUGUUUAAAUAGGCGUGAGGAAUCAGAAUUCUUCUCGUCACAUUUGCAUGCCCAUGUAUGCUGCCCAAGAGACACCACAGGAUAAGGAGAAUCUGGCACAGGCCUAUAAUUAGAAGCUCUUCUGUAGACAAUAAACUGAUAAACAAUUGCAUUUGAGAUUUGCUAGGAUAUGUAUGUUCUAUGAUACCAGGACUACAGCUGAAUUGUUUUGACUAAUGUUUUUGAAGCAAAAAAUAUGGUCCCAGCACUCAUUUUAUGAUGAAUUGUAAAAUGCCUUGCCUGUUUCUUUCCCUUGUUACUUCUUUCUACCAAGUAAACAUAGUAGGCAUGUCAGUGGUUGCUCUGGGGAAGCAGAUGCCCUGACCAGGAUGCUUCCCUUGUGUUGCUAAGAGAACCUCUUCCAAGAGGUUCCUGGGGGUUGGGGAUGAUCAUAGUAGGUCCCCAUGUCACUGGAGCAGUCCUAGUUAAUAAUAUGCUAUUGUCCCAGCAUACAGAUUAGUAACUCCCCUUUCACUCUCAAAGGUGUCUUGGUUUGGACCGGGUGUGUUGUACCCCCAUCAGUGUGGGCACUUCAUAAAUGUGGAAUGGGACUGGCAUUUCAACCUCAGGGUUCAUAUUGUAGUCCUCAGUGGUGAAGUGUAACUGCAGGGAGGCCUGGUCCUGGGUCACAUGUUUCAGAGUCACGCAGACCUGAGUCUAUGUUGUUUAGACAUAUGAACUUGGAUGAGUUACUGAAUCUCUCUGAGCCUCAAGUUUCUCACCUAUAAAACGGAAUAACCAUUUAUAAAAAAUUAUAAAAAAGAAUAAGCAUUAUAAAAAAGAAUAACCAUUUUUAACAAAGAAUUAAAUAUAAAGCACCCAAUAUCAGUGUCCAUAAGUCGGGAACUAAAUUAAUAUUUGCUUUCACUGAUGCCUGCCCCCUAACUUUAGUAGUAAAAUCUUUUCAAUUCUAAAUUAUGCCUUUUCAGCUACAUAUUAAUUCUGAUGGAAAUAAUAAAUCUAAGUCUAUCUCUGAAGAUCAGAGAUAAGACUUCUGUUUCCAGCUUCGCCACUGACUUGAAGCACACAAGUCAUCUGCAAGCUCUGCAAAUUGUUU
rnacentral:lncRNA from 1 species